AGCGAACGCUGGCGGCAGGCCUAACACAUGCAAGUCGAACGAACCCAUCGGUGGUAGUGGCGGACGGGUGAGUAACCCGUGGGAACGUGCCUUUUGGUUCGGAAUAACUCCGGGAAACUUGUGCCAAUACCGAAUGUGCACUUAGGGGGAAAGAUUUAUCGCCUUUAGAGCGGCCCACGUCUGAUUAGCUAGUUGGUGAGGUAAUGGCUCACCAAGGCGACGAUCAGUAGCUGGUCUGAGAGGAUGACCAGCCACAUUGGGACUGAGACACGGCCCAAACUCCUACGGGAGGCAGCAGUGGGGAAUCUUGCGCAAUGGGCGAAAGCCUGACGCAGCCAUGCCGCGUGGAUGAUGAAGGUCUUAGGAUUGUAAAAUCCUUUCACCGGUGAAGAUAAUGACUGUAGCCGGAGAAGAAGCCCCGGCUAACUUCGUGCCAGCCGCCGCGGUAACAC
rnacentral:rRNA from 1 species